rnacentral:rRNA from 1 species
UACGUAGGGGGCAAGCGUUGUCCGGAUUUAAUGGGCGUAAAGAGCGUGUAGGCGGCCAAGCAGGUCCGUUGUGAAAACUGGAGGCUCAACCUCCAGACGUCGACGGAAACCGUGUGGCUAGAGUCCGGAAGAGGAGAGUGGAAUUCCUGGUGUAGCGGUGAAAUGCGCAGAUAUCAGGAAGAACACCAAUGGCGAAGGCAGCUCUCUGGGACGGUACUGACGCUGAGACGCGAAAGCGUGGGGAGCGAACAGG